ACCUACGGGGCGCAGCAGUGGGGAAUAUUGGACAGUGGGGGGAACCCUGAUCCAGCGACGCCGCGUGAGUGAAGAAGUAUUUCGGUAUGUAAAGCUCUAUCAGCAGGGAAGAAAGAAAUGACGGUACCUGACUAAGAAGCCCCGGCUAACUACGUGCCAGCAGCCGCGGUAAUACGUAGGGGGCAAGCGUUAUCCGGAUUUACUGGGUGUAAAGGGAGCGUAGACGGCGAUGCAAGUCUGAAGUGAAAGGCAGGGGCCCAACCCCCGGACUGCUUUGGAAACUGUAUGGCUGGAGUGCAGGAGAG
rnacentral:rRNA from 1 species